UACGGGGGGAGCAAGCGUUGUUCGGAUUUACUGGGCGUAAAGGGCGCGUAGGCGGCCUCCGCAAGUCAGUUGUGAAAUCUCCGAGCUUAGCUCGGAAAGGUCAACUGAUACUGCGGGGCUAGAGUGCGGAAGGGGCAACUGGAAUUCUUGGUGUAGCGGUGAAAUGCGUAGAUAUCAAGAGGAACACCUGCGGCGAAGGCGGGUUGCUGGGCCGACACUGACGCUGAGACGCGAAAGCGUGGGGAGCGAACAGG
rnacentral:rRNA from 1 species